rnacentral:pre_miRNA from 1 species
CAACUACUCCCUCUGUCCCAAAUUUCUUGUCUUAGAUUUGUCUAGAUACGGAUGUAUCUAAUACUAAAAUGUGACUUGANGUCUUAGAUUUGUCUAGAUACGGAUGUAUCUAAUACUAAAAUGUGACUUGAUACAUCCGUAUCUAGACAAAUCUAAGACAAGAAUUUUGGGGCGGAGGGAGUACUUU